UACGUAGGGGGCAAGCGUUGUCCGGAAUCAUUGGGCGUAAAGCGCGCGUAGGCGGCCCGGUAAGUCCGCUGUGAAAGUCAAAGGCUCAACCUUUGAAUGUCAGCGGAUACUGCCGGGCUAGAGUCCGGAAGAGGCGAGUGGAACUCCUGGUGUAGCGAUGGAAUGCGCAGAUAUCAGGAAGAACACCAACGGCGAAGGCAGCUCGCUGGGACGGAACUGACGCUAAGGCGCGAAAGCGUGGGGAGCGAACAGG
rnacentral:rRNA from 1 species